rnacentral:rRNA from 1 species
GAUGAACGCUAGCUACAGGCUUAACACAUGCAAGUCGAGGGGAAACGAUAUUGGAAGCUUGCUUCCGAUAGGCGUCGACCGGCGCACGGGUGAGUAACGCGUAUCCAACCUGCCCACCACUUGGGGAUAACCUUGCGAAAGUAAGACUAAUACCCAAUGAUAUCCAUAGAAGACAUCUGAAAUGGAUUAAAGAUUUAUCGGUGAUGGAUGGGGAUGCGUCUGAUUAGCUUGUUGGCGGGGUAACGGCCCACCAAGGCGACGAUCAGUAGGGGUUCUGAGGGGAAGGUCCCACACAUUGGAACUGAGACACGGUCCAAACUCCUACGGGAGGCAGCAGUGAGGAAUAUUGGUCAAUGGGCGAGAGCCUGAACCAGCCAAGUAGCGUGCAGGAUGACGGCCCUAUGGGUUGUAAACUGCUUUUAUAAGGGAAUAAAGUGGGAGUCGUGACUCCUUUUGCAUGUACCUUAUGAAUAAGGACCGGCUAAUUCCGUGCCAGCCGCCGCAGUAAGAC